CUGCAGCCAAUUAAGCGGACUGUGCUCUUUCCCCACAGGGGCCCAGUAUGCAAUGGCCACACACAGUAGCCUCCUUGGUAGUGUAUGAAGCCUGUUGAUUGUAUGGGUUGCCCUAAGGGGCCUUGGGGACAGCC
rnacentral:snoRNA from 2 species